UACGGGGGGGGUAAGCGUUGUUCGGAAUUACUGGGCGUAAAGGGCUCGUAGGUGGCCAACUAAGUCAUGCGUGAAAUCCCUCGGCUUAACCGGGGAACUGCGUCUGAUACUGGAUGGCUUGAGUUUGGGAGAGGGAUGCGGAAUUCCAGGUGUAGCGGUGAAAUGCGUAGAUAUCUGGAGGAACACCGGUGGCGAAGGCGGCAUCCUGGACCAAUACUGACACUGAGGAGCGAAAGCCAGGGGAGCAAACGGG
rnacentral:rRNA from 1 species